rnacentral:rRNA from 1 species
AGUAACACGUGGGUAACCUGCCCCGAUGACCGGGACAACCCGAGGAAACUCGGGCUAAUACCGGAUGUGCUCGCGAGCCACAAGGCUCGCGCGGAAAGGAAGCUUCGGCCUUCGCAUCGGGAUGGGCCCGCGGCCCAUUAGCUUGUUGGUGGGGUAACGGCCCACCAAGGCUGCGAUGGGUAGCUGGUCUGAGAGGACGAUCAGCCACACUGGGACUGAGACACGGCCCAG